rnacentral:rRNA from 1 species
GGAAGUAAAAGUCGUAACAAGGUCUCCGUAGGUGAACCUGCGGAGGGAUCAUUACAAGAACGCCCGGGCUUCGGCCUGGUUAUUCAUAACCCUUUGUUGUCCGACUCUGUUGCCUCCGGGGCGACCCUGCCUUCGGGCGGGGGCUCCGGGUGGACACUUCAAACUCUUGCGUAACUUUGCAGUCUGAGUAAACUUAAUUAAUAAAUUAAAACUUUUAACAACGGAUCUCUUGGUUCUGGCAUCAAUGAAGAACGCAGCGAAAUGCGAUAAGUAAUGUGAAUUGCAGAAUUCAGUGAAUCAUCGAAUCUUUGAACGCACAUUGCGCCCCCUGGUAUUCCGGGGGGCAUGCCUGUUCGAGCGUCAUUUCACCACUCAAGCCUCGCUUGGUAUUGGGCAACGCGGUCCGCCGCGUGCCUCAAAUCGUCCGGCUGGGUCUUCUGUCCCCUAAGCGUUGUGGAAACUAUUCGCUAAAGGGUGUUCGGGAGGCUACGCCGUAAAACAACCCCAUUUCUAAGGUUGACCUCGGAUCAGGUAGGGAUACCCGCUGAACUUAAGCAUAUCAAUAAGCGGAGGA